GGGGAAGUGGCGGAAUUGGUAGACGCGCUUGACUUAGGAUCAAGUGUUCAUAGAACGUGAGAGUUCGAGUCUCUCCUUCCCCA
rnacentral:tRNA from 3 species